rnacentral:rRNA from 1 species
CCUACGGGUGGCAGCAGUGAGGAAUAUUGGUCAAUGGGCGCGAGCCUGAACCAGCCAAGUAGCGUGAAGGAUGACUGCCCUACGGGUUGUAAACUUCUUUUAUAAAGGAAUAAAGUGAGGCACGUAUGCCUUUUUGAAUGUACUUUAUGAAUAAGGAUCGGCUAACUCCGUGCCAGCCGCGGCGGUAAUACGGAGGAUCCGAGCGUUCUCCGGAUUUAUGGGGUUGAAAGGGAGCGUAGAUGGGUUGUUAAGUCAGUUGUGAAAGUUUGCGGCUCAACCGUAAAAGUGCAAUUGAUACUGGCAGCCUGGAGUGUAGUUGAGGUAGGCGGAAUUCGUGGUGUAGGAGUGAAAUGCUUAGAUAUCACGAAGAACUCCGAUUGCGAAGGCAGCUUACUAAACCGUCACUGACACUGAUGCUCGAAAGUGUGGGUAGCAAACAGGAUUAGAUACCCCAGUAGUC